UGCCUACGGGGGGCAGCAGUGGGGAAUAUUGGACAAUGGGCGAAAGCCUGAUCCAGCAAUGCCGCGUGAGUGAUGAAGGCCCUAGGGUUGUAAAGCUCUUUUACCCGGGAUGAUAAUGACAGUACCGGGAGAAUAAGCUCCGGCUAACUCCGUGCCAGCAGCCGCGGUAAUACGGAGGGAGCUAGCGUUGUUCGGAAUUACUGGGCGUAAAGCGCACGUAGGCGGCUUUGUAAGUUAGGGGUGAAAGCCCGGGGCUCAACUCCGGAAUUGCCUUUAAGACUGCAUCGCUUGAAUCCAGGAGAGGUGAGUGGAAUUCCGAGUGUAGAGGUGAAAUUCGUAGAUAUUCGGAAGAACACCAGUGGCGAAGGCGGCUCACUGGACUGGUAUUGACGCUGAGGUGCGAAAGCGUGGGGAGCAAACAGGAUUAGAUACCCGGGUAGUC
rnacentral:rRNA from 1 species